AAGUUUUAAAUGGCCGCAGUAUUUUGACUGUGCAAAGGUAGCAUAAUCAUUAGUUUCUUAAUUAGAAGCUUGUAUGAAAGGUUGGGUGAGAAAGUUACUGUCUCUAUUUAAAUUAAUUAGAAUUUUAUAUUUAAGUAAAAAAGCUUAAAUAUAUAUUGAAGACGAGAAGACCCUAUAGAGUUUUAUAUUAAUAUUAUUUAUAUUUUUUAGUAUCAUAAUUAUGUAUAUAAUUAAUUAUUUGAUUGGGGUGAUUAAAAAAUUUAUUAAACUUUUUUUUUAUUAUUUCAUUAAUUUAUGAAUUAUUGAUCCUUAAUUUAAGAUUAAAAGAAUAAAUUACCUUAGGGAUAACAGCGUAAUUUUUUGUAAGAGUUCUAAUCAAAAAAAAAGUUUGC
rnacentral:rRNA from 1 species